CUACGUGCCAGCAGCCGCGGUAAUACGUAUGUCGCGAGCGUUAUCCGGAAUUAUUGGGCAUAAAGGGCAUCUAGACGGCCGGAUAAGUCUGGGGUGAAAACUUGCGGCUCAACCGCAAGCCUGCCCUGGAAACUAUGCGGCUAGAGUACUGGAGAGGUGGACGGAACUGCACGAGUAGAGGUGAAAUUCGUAGAUAUGUGCAGGAAUGCCGAUGAUGAAGAUAGUUCACUGGACGGUAACUGACGCUGAAGUGCGAAAGCUAGGGGAGCAAACAGGAUUAGAUACCCUGGUAGUCCUAGCUGUAAACGAUGAUUACUGGGUGUGGGCAUGAAGAGUGUCCGUGCCGAGGCUAAUGCGAUAAGUAAUCCGCCUGGGGAGUACGGCCGCAAGGCUGAAACUCAAAGGAAUUGACGGGGACCCGCACAAGCGGUGGAGCAUGUGGUUUAAUUCGACGCAACGCGAGGAACCUUACCAGAUCUUGACAUCCUG
rnacentral:rRNA from 1 species